UCUGACACUGGGCAAGAAGAGCCCUCCUGGUCUGUGGCGUUCCCAGAAACACUUCUCAGAAUCUAGCCCAGCCCCUGAAGUGCCCGUAACUCUGGGCAGAGCCCAAAGCUCUGGAAUAGGACAGAAGCCAGCUCUGGAGCCACUUUGAAUCUUUGGGCUCAAAACACAGGGUGUUUGGUUUUGGCCGCCUCGUGGAGGAAAAGAAGUGUGAGGCCACUCUGGCAGCCAGCAGACUAAUGUUAUGUUGUGUCUUGACCUAAGAGCGCAGGCUCUGGAAUCAGAGACCCCUGGCCGUGGAUCUGUGCACUGACAUCACCAGCUGUGUGACUAUGGGGCGGCUUCCUCCUGGAGCAGCAGAGGGAAGGCUAAGUGCUGGGCCCUUCUCUAGCCUGGCUGGGCAAGCCACUUCCCCGUUCCUGCCUCAGUUUCCUCUUCAGGAGAACGAGGUGGUUGGACCGCAGGGCCUCCCAGGUGCCUCCAGGGCUCUCCUUGUGCCCUUCCGUGGGCAGGCACCUCUGAGGCAGUGAAGAGGUCAGGCUCUGACCGCACACAUCUGCACCUGAACCCCAGAACUUGGACGUCUCACCUGCCUCGCUGUAAUACUGAAGGCCUUGACGUUUAAAGGAUACAAUGUGAAUGCCAUGCUUAAUGGUAUCUGGUGUCCGUCCAUAGUUGCUCAAUAAAUUGUAGCCAUUA